rnacentral:lncRNA from 1 species
AAUCCCGCCCGCGCGCCUGGGGACGGGGGACAUCUCGGGCUCUCCGGGCUGGGCGGCACGAUGUGCGGCGGGAACCUGGGUUUCCACAGCCCCACACGGACCGAGGGACUCGGAACAGAAGUGCGGGGCAUGGGGUCGUGGCCUCUGGCCUCCCAUCCCGGGCAAGGCUCUUGUGAAAACCCCAGGCUGAAGCCGGCACAGUUGAUACAGAUGUAGAAAUAUCCACCUGAGGCCUGAGAAAUGUGCAAAACAGUUGAGAGAAAGAGGAAGCUGAAGCUGAAUGAGGUCAACGCUGUGAUGCAUAUUCCCAACCAAGAUGCAUGCAUAUUCCCU